GCAGAGCACUCCUACGGGAGGCAGCAGUGGGGAAUAUUGGACAAUGGGGGAAACCCUGAUCCAGCCAUGCCGCGUGUGUGAAGAAGGCCUUCGGUUGUAAAGCACUUUCAGUGGGGAGGAAAGGUUGAUGGUUAAUACCUAUCAGCUGUGACGUUACCCCACAGAAGAAGCACCGGCUAACUCCGUGCCAGCAGCCGCGGUAAUACGGAGGGUGCAAGCGUUAAUCGGAAUUACUGGGCGUAAAGCGUGCGCAGGCGGUGUGUUAAGCGAGAUGUGAAAGCCCCGGGCUCAACCUGGGAACUGCAUUUCGAACUGGCAGACUAGAGUCUUGUAGAGGGGGUAGAAUUCCAGGUGUAGCGGUGAAAUGCGUAGAGAUCUGGAGGAAUACCGGUGGCGAAGGCGGCCCCCUGGACAAAGACUGACGCUCAGGCACGAAAGCGUGGGGAGCAAACAGGAUUAAAUACCCUGGUAG
rnacentral:rRNA from 1 species